rnacentral:rRNA from 1 species
GACGAACGCUGGCGGCGUGCUUAACACAUGCAAGUCGAACGGAAAGGCCCUGCUUUUGUGGGGUGCUCGAGUGGCGAACGGGUGAGUAACCCGUGAGUAACCUGCCCUUGACUUUGGGAUAACUUAAGGAAACUGGGGCUAAUACCGGCAAGGAGCUCCUGCUGCAUGGUGGGGGUUGGAAAGUUUCGGCGGUUGGGGAUGGACUCGCGGCUUAUCAGCUUGUUGGUGGGGUAGUGGCUUACCAAGGCCUUGACGGGUAGCCGGCCUGCGAGGGUGACCUGCCAAAUUGGGACUGAGAUACGACCCAGACUCCUACGGGAGGCAGCAGUGGAGAAUAUUGCACAAUGGGCGGAAGCCUGAUGCAGCAACGCCGCGUGCGGGAUGACGGCCUUCGGGUUGGAAACCGCUUUCGCCUGUGACGAAGCGUGAGUGACGGUAAUGGGUAAAGAAGCACCGGCUAACUACGUG